rnacentral:tRNA from 1 species
GGGAGGGUGGAGACAUGACCUGACCCGUCUGACGUGCAAAAACGUCACGAACGGACACUGAUCGGCCAGGACCGCCAAGAUCCCCAAAGGACUCAUAAUCCGUCGGCCGUGGGUUCGAGUCCCACCCGCCCCACCA